AGUGAACGCUGGCGGUAGGCCUAACACAUGCAAGUCGAACGGCAGCACAGUAAGAGCUUGCUCUUACGGGUGGCGAGUGGCGGACGGGUGAGGAAUACAUCGGAAUCUACUUUUUCGUGGGGGAUAACGUAGGGAAACUUACGCUAAUACCGCAUACGACCCACGGGUGAAAGCAGGGGAUCUUCGGACCUUGCGCGAUUGAAUGAGCCGAUGUCGGAUUAGCUAGUUGGCGGGGUAAAGGCCCACCAAGGCGACGAUCCGUAGCUGGUCUGAGAGGAUGAUCAGCCACACUGGAACUGAGACACGGUCCAGACUCCUACGGGAGGCAGCAGUGGGGAAUAUUGGACAAAGGGCGCAAGCCUGAUCCAGCCAUACCGCGUGGGUGAAGAAGGCCUUUGGGUUGUAAAGCCCUUUUGUUGGGAAAGAAAAGCAGCAGGUUAAUACCCCGCUGUUCUGACGGUACCCAAAGAAUAAGCACCGGCUAACUUCGUG
rnacentral:rRNA from 1 species